UCUAAGAUAAUUUGAAUGCACAUAAGUGGCUUUAUAGAAAUAGUUAUCAGCUAUAUGUACAGUCUACCAAUUCGUAAUAUGGGAGGAGCCGUACCAAACUACUGGGGUUUUAUCGAUGGAACUAUUAGAGAAAUUUGUUGACGAAGUAUCAUCACUAUGUAAAAUAUCAGUCUACUUUAUGUACCUGUUUGAAUGGAAGUCAAUCAAGUAUUUCUUUUUAUGUGAAACCACCAGUAUUGGAAGAUUAUUCUGUUUAACAGAAUUAUGUUAUGUAUUUUUGUAAUUUUUCCUACAAUAAUUUUGAAAAAAGUGUACUCAACGUAUAAUUUUAUAAUAACAUUACUGAUAAUUAAUUUGGUUCUGCAUUGUGAUUUGCUUUUUUUUAUGCUAUGUUGAUCCAAUAUA